GGGUAUGCCUGGAGGAACUGGUCCUCUUGGUCCUGCAGGUCCUGCUGGUAUGCCUGGUCCGAGGGGAAUCAAAGGAGCUAAAGGUGCCACUGGCGGAGGUGGUCCUAAAGGAGAAAAGGGG